rnacentral:rRNA from 1 species
UACGUAGGGUGCGAGCGUUGUCCGGAAUUAUUGGGGCGUAAAGGGCUCGUAGGCGGCUUUGCAAGUUAGAGGUGAAAGCCCGGGGCUCAACUCCGGAAUUGCCUUUAAAACUGCAUCGCUAGAGUUGUGGAGAGGUAAGUGGAAUUCCGAGUGUAGAGGUGAAAUUCGUAGAUAUUCGGAAGAACACCAGUGGCGAAGGCGACUUACUGGACACAUACUGACGCUGAGGUGCGAAAGCGUGGGGAGCAACAGG